ensembl:lncRNA
AUCAUUGUGUGCCAUUUGGGCUUUGUUUUGACCUUUACCUGCUAAAUGUUAAGCUAAGAAUUUUUCUUUAAAUAGUAGCAACUCAAUGAAUAAAUUAAUAGGUUUUAUAUACAUCUAAAUUAAUUUAUUUAAGUCAAUUAUUAUUAUUAUUAUUAUUAUUAUUAUUUGUUGUUGUUGUUGUUAGUAAUAAUAAUAAUUUUAAAAGCAGGCUGCCAUUUUUUAUCAUCAUGUAAAGUCUAAGUCUCUGCAUUGUUGGGUUAGCGUGUGUGUGUGUGUGUGUGUGUGUGUGUGUGUGUGUGUGUGUGUGUGUGUGUGUGUGUGUAUUGUAAGGACUCUCUCUCACCUCCACAGCAGCCUUGGCUUGAACAAACUCCUCCACUAAUGAGUGUUGUCUCCCGGUGGUGAAGAAAGAAAGAAUGGUGAUCAUGAUGAAUAGUUAAUUAUUUAGUUUCUUUAAGUACGACACAACUUAGCAUUUUACUGUGCCAUUUAUUUCUCAGUUGGCAAGAAUGAUUUCAAAUGCCAAAUCUGUCUUCUGAGCAGAUGCUCUUUUGGAAGAUGCCAUUUCUCAUAACUGCAGAGAUGUUUUUCUGGGAGCUGGUGGAUGCCCUGUAUUUGACCCUGAAGGGUUGAGUCAUGUCUGUUGGUCCUCUUCAUCUGAAAGGCUUGGAAAGCCUCCCUUCCACAGCAAUGUCACCUGUGCUCAAGAAAGUUCAGCUUGUGCUACAAACAAAAUGCAUCUCUGUUUGUCAACACAGCAGUCUGACCAUUAAGUGCAGUCUGAGAGGAAAUGAGAGAAAAGAGGUGAGCACUCAUUUCUUACAAAACCUUGAAGACAUACAGUAUUUUGUUUUGUGUUUUUUUUUUUUUUUUAAUUUUUUAUUGUUGUUGAUUUUUGUUUUCGUAGUAUGUCAUCGUCCUGUUGUCAUAAAAAAAAAGAAUGUUGAUUUUUCACAACCAGUCGUUAUCCUUUCCUCCUGUAAAACUGGGCCACAUUUUAGUUGAAAAGUUGGCUUCAAAUUUUGUGACUUGGUUUGUCUUAUUAUGUUCUCCAGGACUGUUCCCUCUCUCACACACGUUCAGACAUGAUGAGUAUCAAUAAUUCAUAGGGACUCGUGCUGACCCUGCCUUUAGUGACCUCUGUCAUGUCCUGCCUGCUGCUACUUUAUAAAUAAACAUCUGUUCAUGCCGGGCUUUCA